UACAGAGGGUGCGAGCGUUGUCCGGAAUCACUGGGCGUAAAGGGCGCGUAGGUGGCGGCCCAAGUCCAUGGUGAAAGCUCGAUGCUCAACAUCGAGUCGGCCACGGAUACUGGGUUGCUUGAGCACUGUAGGGGCAGAUGGAAUUCCGGGUGUAGCGGUGGAAUGCGUAGAGAUCCGGAAGAACACCGGUGGCGAAGGCGGUCGCUGGGCAGUUGCGGACACUGAGCGCGACAGCGGUGG
rnacentral:rRNA from 1 species